AACGAACGCUGGCGGCAUGCCUAACACAUGCAAGUCGAACGAGACCUUCGGGUCUAGUGGCGCACGGGUGCGUAACGCGUGGGAACCUGCCCUUAGGUUCGGAAUAACUCCCCGAAAGGGGUGCUAAUACCGGAUAAUGUCUUCGGACCAAAGAUUUAUCGCCUUUGGAUGGGCCCGCGUUGGAUUAGCUAGUUGGUAGGGUAAAAGCCUACCAAGGCGACGAUCCAUAGCUGGUCUGAGAGGAUGAUCAGCAACACUGGGACUGGGACACGGCCCAGACUCCUAGGGGAGGCAGCAGUGGGGAAUGUUGGACAAUGGGCGAAAGCCUGAUCCAGCAAGGCCGCGAGAGUGAUGAAGGACUUAGGGUUGUAAAGCUCUUUUACCCGGGAUGAUAAUGACGGAACCGGGAGAAUAAGCUCCGGCUAACUCCGU
rnacentral:rRNA from 1 species